GGCAGCGUGGCCGAGUGGUUAGGGCGCCGGACUUGAAAUUCGGAGGUCGCGGGUUCAAGUCCCGCUCUGACCA
rnacentral:tRNA from 1 species